UACAUAGGGUGCAAGCGUUGUCCGGAAUUAUUGGGCGUAAAGAGCUCGUAGGCGGUCUGUCGCGUCGAAUGUGAAAACCCGGGGCUCAACCCCGGGCCUGCAUUCGAUACGGGCAGACUAGAGUUCGGCAGGGGAGACUGGAAUUCCUGGUGUAGCGGUGAAAUGCGCAGAUAUCAGGAGGAACACCGGUGGCGAAGGCGGGUCUCUGGGCCGAUACUGACGCUGAGGAGCGAAAGCGUGGGGAGCGAACAGG
rnacentral:rRNA from 1 species